UACGGGGGGGGCAAGCGUUGUUCGGAAUUACUGGGCGUAAAGGGCUCGUAGGCGGCCAACUAAGUCAGACGUGAAAUCCCCAGGCUCAACCUGGGAACUGCGUCUGAUACUGGAUGGCUUGAAUUCGGGAGAGGGAUGCAGAAUUCCAGGUGUAGCGGUGAAAUGCGUAGAUAUCUGGAGGAAUACCGGUGGCGAAGGCGGCAGCCUGGACCGACAUUGACGCUGAUGAGCGAAAGCUAGGGGAGCAAACGGG
rnacentral:rRNA from 1 species